UGCUCAACCAGCUAAGCCACCCAGGCACCCCUUCUUCCUGUUUUUAAAAAUUAUUAUUCUGGAUCUGAUGCCAGCUGUGGAUCCCUGCUGACAUUGUCUCCAGGACAAAGAAAAUGGAGCUGUGAACACCACCCACCAUGAGAGAAAGAGCAGGGGAAGCCCAAGAUACCAUAAACAGAAGAGGAAUGGGAGUGCCAGUGACACUGUGACAAAAUUAGGCUUUUAAUGAAGAUGAAGCAGGGUGAUAACUCCCACAAAUCACACUGGGUAGGACAGUCCAAGCAGACAAGGCUGCAUGACAAACAUGAUCCUCUUUCGGUUCAGUCGAUGUAUUGCUGCCGUUGGAUGGAAGUUUUCACUCAGAGUUAAGAAAUGUGAAUUUAAAAGUCAAGCACCCAAGAACCCCGGCUAUCUCAUCAACACUUCAGAUGCCUCAGAAAUGCAUUGGAAUUUUUAAAAAUUGAUUCUACAAAUCUCCCCCUCCACUUCUCUUCUGACCGCGUGGGAUUCGCAGCAGAAUACACACGAUAUAGACACAUCCCCUGAAGUGUAAUAGAUUUGAAUUGCACACAAGUUGGUGAAUGAAUGUCUAAAUAAUUAGGAGGUUAAUUAAUUUAAAAUAUAGGAGGAUGAGAGAAAUUUGAAGCUACGGAUUCAAUAGAGAUCUGCAAGCCUGUUCCGCUAAUGAAAACAGAGAGAGGUUUCACACCCAGUGUGGAGCCCAACACGGGGCUCAAACUCAUGACUGUGAGAUCAAGACCUGAGUAGAGAUCAAGAGUUGAACACCUAACCGAAUGAGCCACCCAGGUGCCCCUAAAUGCUAAUUAUAUUUACCCGUGCAGUGCUAGUUGUAUUUUCCAUCCUACACUAUUUCAUUUUUUUACAACUCUGGUUGCAACCCACUGAAGUGAUUUCAUGAUUCUCUACUGUCUCAGUUGGCAAUCUAAAAAACUCUAGCCUAAUGGAAAGCACAUAGAUUUUGGUAUAUAUAAAAAAAAGUUCCCUGGGAUCAGAUCUCACCUCUGCCACUUACUGCUUGUGUAAAUAUAGGAAAGAUUUUGUUUGCUUUAAAAAAAAAAAAAAAAAAAAGCUGAUCUUCAGUUUCCUCACCUACAAAAUGAAGACAGUGGCCGUCUUACCGACGUGUAUUAUACGGCACAGGACUCGGCACUUGGUAGGUACCCCAUAAGCUGUAGCUUUUGUAAUUGAUCUGCUUUGCUAUGCAGACAGGACUCUAGAAGAAGCUUGCCCCCAUUACCAAUGCCUUUGGGAACUCCGAAUGCAAUUACCUCAGGGCUUUGUCUCAGGGCCUGGUGUGGAAGCAGCUUCUGAGGUCUGUGAUACCCUUGCUUAACAGCAUGCUUCCAAGUCCUGCUAUUUGGAUUUGAUUUUUUAAAGUACUUCCUUUAUUUUAAUUCAGACCCCAGGGACCUGGAAAGUACACCACUGCUUUUUCCCAAUAAAAAUCAGACCAGCAAUAAGCAUAUUGCAUUUGAAAUGGUGAAGCUGGGCUCGCCUUCAAAGGACACCGCAUUAGGACUUGGCUCACCCCCAGCCUGUGUUCCACAGUCGAUUUCCCUGGAGGGAACUUGGCCACAGCCUUGAGGCCUGGUGGGCUGAAAGAAACCUUGGCUUCAACUAACUCUUUUGCAACUGGGCGGAUGAGACAUGAAGGAGAGAGAGAAACUACCCGAGCAACACUGAUGGCAAAUCAGGACUCACGUGUUACGGCUCAGACUCCAUCCUGGAAACCCAGAGCAGGUGGGGAGCAUCCCGCCCUCGCGGUCAGUCCCCUGAGCCUCACAUAAUGAGGGCUCUCCUUCACUCAACAGGCCUUGGUUAUCAGAGGCACUUUAAUCCCUGGGGAGAACACUUCCAAGGUAAAAAGAGACAUUUUCAGCAGAUACAACACGAUGGUAUUUGCAAUCAAUACUUCAAUACAGUCACAGGACAUAAUUAUAUUAAAUCAAAAGUUCUUUGCAUUUAGUUCUUACCACACACUGUAUACUGUAUCUUCCACCCUAAUAUAUUUUUCUAUUACCAUGUUCCUAUGAAGUCAAGAAUCUAAAUCCUAGAAAUAUUGUUAAUGUAAAAUAAGUCAGAUUCUGGACCUUCUAGGUAUCUGAUCAGUGUGUGUGUGUGCGUGUGUGCACGUGUGUGUGCGUGUGUAAAUAUUAGCAGUUUGUGGGUGAUUUAAAUUAUUUUGAAUCAUGGGUGGUUUAAAUUUUUUUUUUCUUUUUUGAUUUGCCAGCAAUUUCUAACCUUUUUGCUUACACUGAGCACACUAGUAGUAUACAUUUCACUUAACAAACUCAGGUACUUGAGAGAUGCUAUUUUCUUAAUUUUCCUAUUAGUGAGUUUAACUCCUAGUCCCAGCUCUAUUCCCCUUUGUGGCAGAAGUAUAAUCAUGUUCAAAUCAGGUACUGGGGGCUUGCAAACUGUCAAGCCAUCAGUAGGCGGGAGGUCUCUGGUUGGCCAUUGUCACAUCCUGUCCACACUGGUCACUUUUGCACACUCCUUGCCUGGACCACAAGCCCCCCAAGGCCAGCUGUCCCAAUGUCUUCCAGAUGCCCUGCUGGAGCAAAGGGAAUUCUGGGAGGCUCCCUCAGCCCUCCUCCUCUCUCCUGUCUCUCUGCACCAACACCUUGCCAACUGCUCCCCCCCAUGCAGGAAAAUCCCACAAGACUUGCCUUCCCUAAGCUCUGCCCUGGCAAGGCAAUAGCUCUCUAUAUUCUCGUCUCUCGCAAAUCUUACCUAGUGAGGGAGAGGUGUGAGCAGGGGAAAAACCCAAACAAACAAAAGUGACUCUGAUCAAUCACAUAUGCUUCUAAAUAGCUUUUGGGGUUUUUGUUUUUUAUGUGUAACUCCCAGAAUUGGACUCAUGUUCUCUGGUCAUACGUUAUGUCACAUGUCCUAUUACAUAUACGUUGAGCUAUUUAAUUUCAAUAAAUAAACAAGUAUAUGGAC